AUUGAACGCUGGCGGCAGGCUUAACACAUGCAAGUCGAGCGAGCGGCGGACGGGUGAGUAAUGUCUGGGAAACUGCCUGAUGGAGGGGGAUAACUACUGGAAACGGUAGCUAAUACCGCCUAACCUACGAUGUGCCCAGAUGGGAUUAGCUAGUAGGUGGGGUAAUGGCUACCCUAGGCGGAGAUCCCUAGCUGGUCUGAGAGGAUGACCAGCCACACUGGAACUGAGACACGGUCCAGACUCCUACGGGAGGCAGCAGGGGGGAAUAUUGCACAAUGGGCUCAAGCCUGAUGCAGCCAUGCCGCGUGUGUGAAGAAGGCCUUCGGGUUGUAAAGCACUUUCAGCGAAGAGGCGUUACUCGCAGAAGAAGCACCGGCUAACUCCGUGCCAGCAGCCGCGGUAAUAC
rnacentral:rRNA from 1 species